UUGGUGAACUUAUUAAUGGAUUGAUAACUCCUAAUCCAUUGGUUCAUGGGAAAGAGUUUCAGUUGCAAGGAACUUUACACAUUAAGAAAACGAUACAAUGGGGUAUACUGCAUUUCACACUGACACAUCCUUUCAAGAAUUAUAUCAAUAUUACUUUCAUGGAUGAGAAGUUCAAUUUAUGCGACUACCUUGAUGAUUUAUGCAAGGUAUAUUGUCCUAUACCACCAGGGACAUAUCAUGCUGAUGCAGUAGGAUUAAUACCAAGCAUCUUAUGGCCAGGUAGGUAUUAUGGGAAAGCUACUGCACACAAUGAGAAAGGAGAGGAAAUGAUGUGUGUAAGCACUGAACUUAAUGUCAAAUAACUUGAAUAAAAGUAGUGAAAGUAGAUAAGUGCAA